rnacentral:rRNA from 1 species
ACGAACGCUGGCGGCGUGGAUAAGACAUGCAAGUCGAACGAGAGAAUUGCUAGCUUGCUAAUAAUUCUCUAGUGGCGCACGGGUGAGUAACACGUGAGUAACCUGCCCCCGAGAGCGGGAUAGCCCUGGGAAACUGGGAUUAAUACCGCAUAGUAUCGAAAGAUUAAAGCAGCAAUGCGCUUGGGGAUGGGCUCGCGGCCUAUUAGUUAGUUGGUGAGGUAACGGCUCACCAAGGCGAUGACGGGUAGCCGGUCUGAGAGGAUGUCCGGCCACACUGGAACUGAGACACGGUCCAGACACCUACGGGUGGCAGCAGUCGAGAAUCAUUCACAAUGGGGGAAACCCUGAUGGUGCGACGCCGCGUGGGGGAAUGAAGGUCUUCGGAUUGUAAACCCCUGUCAUGUGGGAGCAAAUUAAAAAGAUAGUACCACAAGAGGAAGAGACGGCUAACUCUGUGCCAGCAGCCGCGGUAAUACAGAGGUCUCAAGCGUUGUUCGGAAUCACUGGGCGUAAAGCGUGCGUAGGCUGUUUCGUAAGUCGUGUGUGAAAGGCGCGGGCUCAACCCGCGGACGGCACAUGAUACUGCGAGACUAGAGUAAUGGAGGGGGAACCGGAAUUCUCGGUGUAGCAGUGAAAUGCGUAGAUAUCGAGAGGAACACUCUUGGCGAAGGCGGGUUCCUGGACAUUAACUGACGCUGAGGCACGAAGGCCAGGGGAGCGAAAGGGAUUAGAUACCCCUGUAGUCCUGGCAGUAAACGGUGCACGCUUGGUGUGCGGGGAAUCGACCCCCUGCGUGCCGGAGCUAACGCGUUAAGCGUGCCGCCUGGGGAGUACGGUCGCAAGAUUAAAACUCAAAGAAAUUGACGGGGACCCGCACAAGCGGUGGAGUAUGUGGCUUAAUUCGAUGCAACGCGAAGAACCUUACCUGGGCUUGACAUGUAAUGAACAACAUGUGAAAGCAUGCGACUCUUCGGAGGCGUUACACAGGUGCUGCAUGGCCGUCGUCAGCUCGUGUCGUGAGAUGUUUGGUUAAGUCCAGCAACGAGCGCAACCCCUGUUGCCAGUUACCAGCACGUGAAGGUGGGGACUCUGGCGAGACUGCCCAGAUCAACUGGGAGGAAGGUGGGGACGACGUCAGGUCAGUAUGGCCCUUAUGCCCAGGGCUGCACACGUACUACAAUGCCCAGUACAGAGGGGGCCGAAGCCGCGAGGCGGAGGAAAUCCUAAAAACUGGGCCCAGUUCGGACUGUAGGCUGCAACCCGCCUACACGAAGCCGGAAUCGCUAGUAAUGGCGCAUCAGCUACGGCGCCGUGAAUACGUUCCCGGGUCUUGUACACACCGCCCGUCACAUCAUGGAAGCCGGUCGCACCCGAAGUAUCUGAAGCCAACCGCAAGGAGGCAGGGUCCUAAGGUGAGACUGGUAACUGGGAUG